ensembl:misc_RNA Y_RNA Y RNA
AACUGGUCUAAAGGUAGUGAGUUAUCUCAUUUGAUUGUUCACAGUUAAUCACAGAUCAAACUGCUUGUUCUACUCUUUCCCCCUUUCUCACUAUUGGGUACUUGACCAGUCAAAA